rnacentral:lncRNA from 10 species
AGCUCUUACCCCCACAACCCCCAUCUCUCUGUAACUUAAUUUUUCUUCUCAAGUUUCGAACAAGUACAGAUAGAACAACUUGUUUUCUAAUCUUUUUCUCUUUUUCUCAUUCCUCUUCUUUCUUUAUUCUUCUUUUCCCCCCUCUUUUUGUUUCCUUUUCCUGACUCUUGAAAACCAUGGCAAGUGCUUAUUAUUUCAGUUGAAUAUGUUAAAAAUUGUUAUCAAGAAGUUGAUUUUUUGUGUAUAAAAAUGGUGAACUAAGAUACUGUUAAAAGAGUGGAAUAAAUGAAGAGGAGAGACAGAAGAACCAAAGAUGGGAAAAGGACUGGAAAAGAAAAAGAGACUAAAAGGAAGAGGCUGAAAACUUAAAAAAUUGGAUGAAAAUUAUGAAGAUAGUCUGACAUGAUAUAUUAAGAGCUCUGAAUGAUGCCUAGGGAUGUAGAAGAGGAGAAAAACACUUGAGCUCAUUGGUGGAAGGGACCUGACUUGCCUCAGAUGAGACUUUGGACUUGAACUUUUGAGUUAAUGCUGAAUGAGUUAAGUCUCAGGGAACUGUUGAGAAGGGAUGAUUGUAUUUUGCAAUGUGAGAAUAACAUGAGAUUUGGGAGGAGCUAGGGACAGAAUGAUACUGUUUGGCUCUGUGUCCCCACCCAGAUCUCAUGUCAAAUUGUAAUUCCCAGUGUUGGAGGAGGGUCUUGGUAGGAAGUGAUUG